rnacentral:lncRNA from 1 species
AUUUCCAAACAGUGCAAAAUUCAAGAAUCCAAAGACCCAAUUUUGCAGGAACUCAAUCUACAUUUAUAAUAAGUUAAAUACCAAAAUCUUAGGAUUUGGGAAAAAGGGUCGUCUGUAUAUAUGCCGUAGUUCACUAAACUUUCAAAAUCAAGAAGACCCAAUUAUGAAAAAUGAUACAGAUGUUUCUGCUGAGGUAAGUGGUGGAAGCAAUAAUGGAGGAAGUGGAGGAGACCAA